rnacentral:lncRNA from 1 species
AUACACUAAAAUAAAAAUGUAAAAACACUACUUAUAAAAAUUUAUAAAACAUAUUGAUUUUGUAAAUUAGAUUUUGUUAAAAAUAUUUUUACGAUUUUAAAACACGGGUCAAAAUUUAAUUAGGUAAAUUACCGUCAGGUACGUCACAUUUUAGUUGAUGUAACGAGAGAUUUAAACGGUCUCUAACAUACACAUCAUUUUUUAGAUAUGAAAUUAAACUCGUGAUGCUAAUUACAUAACAUCAUAAAGUUGAGGGAUGUUGACAUGCAUAAUAUAUACUUCGUGUAGCUAAGUAUACAUUUGUUUAGUUUGCAUGGUUAGCCAUGUGAUGGCCAAUACUUCAUGUAGUCAGCAAUUAUUUUUCCUAUUUAAAAUUAUUAUUGUCAACGAUGAUAUGAUAUACUUUAAAAAAUCUUGUAACUAAAAAAGUAUUUUCUGAAUUUUCUAAAUUUUUUUGGAAAUUUAUGAAUUUUUAUUUAGUUCUUCUGUAUUUGAAUUUAAUCUUAUUUAUUAUUGAAUUUUUAGUUCUUUUUUAUUUUUAUUUAAUUUUUAAAAUAUUUAUUUAAUUUUUGAAAUUCUUAAUUAAUUUUCUGAUUUUAUUUUUGAUUUUGCUGAAUUUUUAUUAAAUUUUCGAUUUUUGUUUAAUUGUCUAAAUUUUUCUUUUGAUUUUUAUUUAUUUUAUUAAUUAAAUAAUUAUUUUUUGAAAAAAACUGACAUAUCAUUUUUUAGCCUUUUCAACAGGUCAAUUUUUUACUUUGGAGGUUUUUUAUGAUACAAAUGUCAAUUUGAAGGUUAAAAGUGUUAGUGAAAAAACUUCAAGGUUUAAAGUGCUACUAAGUGACACUUUAAAGGUUUUUUAUGCGAUUUUCCCUAAGAAUAAGGGCAAAAUAACUAAUUUAAGAUUAAAUCACUA